ACGGCUCAGUAACACGUAGGUAACCUACCCUUCGGACGGGCACAACCCCGGGAAACUGGGGCUAAUUCCCGAUAGGUACCCCCUUCUGGAAUGUGGGGAUAUCCAAAGCUCCGGCGCCGAAGGAUGGGCCUGCGGCCGAUUAGGUUGUUGGCGGGGUAACAGCCCACCAAGCCGACGAUCGGUACGGGCAGUGAGAGCUGUAGCCCGGAGAUGGGGACUGAGACAAGGCCCCAGGCCCUACGGGGCGCAGCAGGCGCGAAACCUUCACAAUGCACGAAAGUGUGAUGAGGGUACUCCGAGUGCGCAUACAUUGUAUGUGCUUUUCUGCAGCGUAAAUAGUUGCAGGAAUAAGGGCUGGGCAAGACCGGUGCCAGCCGCCGCGGUAACACCGGCAGCCCUAGUGGUGGCCGCUUUUAUUGGGCCUAAAGCGUCCGUAGCCGGACAGGCGAGUCUUUGGGUAAAUCCUACGUCUUAAGCGUGGGAAUUCUAAAGAUACUACCUGUCUUGAGGCCGGGAGAGGCUGGAGGUACUCCUGGGGUAGGGGUAAAAUCCUAUAAUCCUGGGGGGACCACCGAUGGCGAAGGCAUCCAGCUGGAACGGGCCUGACGGUGAGGGACGAAACCCAGGGGAGCGAGCCGGAUUAGAUACCCGGGUAGUCCUGGGCGUAAAUGAUGUGGGCUUGGUGUGAGCGCAUCGACGAGGUGCGCUUGUGCCGUAGGGAAGCCGUUAAGCCCACCGCCUGGGGAGUACGGUCGCAAGGCUGAAACUUAAAGGAAUUGGCGGGGGAG
rnacentral:rRNA from 1 species